ACUCCUACGGGAGGCAGCAGUGGGGAAUUUUGCACAAUGGGCGGAAGCCUGAUGCAGCGACGCCGCGUGGAGGAUGAAGGCCUUCGGGUUGUAAACUCCUUUUGUAGGGGACAAUGAUGAUGGUACCCUGCGAAUAAGCCACGGCUAACUCUGUGCCAGCAGCCGCGGUAAGACAGAGGUGGCGAGCGUUGUUCGGAAUCACUGGGCUUAAAGGGCGCGUAGGUGGUAGUGCAAGUCUGGGGUGGAAUCCUAUGGCUUAACCAUAGAAUUGCCUUGGAAACUGUAUUACUUGAGUCAGUGAGGGGAGGGUAGAAUUCCUGGUGUAGCGGUGAAAUGCGUAGAUAUCAGGAGGAAGGCCUGUGGCGAAGGCGGCCCUCUGGCGCUGAACUGACACUGAGGCGCGAAAGCGUGGGGAGCAAACAGGAUUAGAUACCCUGGUAGUCCACGCCCUAAACGGUGGGCACUAGGUGUAGGGCUCGUAAGGGUUCUGUGCCGAAGCGAAAGCAUUAAGUGCCCCGCCUGGGGA
rnacentral:rRNA from 1 species